rnacentral:tRNA from 1 species
UGAGGGGUAGCUCAGUUGGUAGAGCAUGAAACUCUAAAUCUCAGGGUCAUAGGUUUAAUCCCCACAUUGGGCAAAA